rnacentral:rRNA from 1 species
UACGAACUGUGCGAACGUUAUUCGGAAUCACUGGGCUUACAGGGUGCGUAGGCGGCUUGUUAAGUAGGGUGUGAAAGCCCCCGGCUCAACCGGGGAAUUGCGCCCUAAACUGGCGAGCUGGAGUGAGAUAGGGGUGUGUGGAACUUCCGGUGGAGCGGUGAAAUGUGUUGAUAUCGGAAGAAACGCCGGUGGCGAAAGCGACACACUGGAUCUUGUCUGACGCUGAGGCACGAAAGCCAGGGGAGCGAACGGG